rnacentral:rRNA from 1 species
CCUACGGGUGGCAGCAGUGAGGAAUAUUGGUCAAUGGCCGGAAGGCUGAACCAGCCAAGCCGCGUGAAGGACGAAGGUGCCAAGCAUUGUAAACUUCUUUUGUCAAGGGACAAAAUCAGGCUCGAGAGCCUGACCGAGGGUACUUGAAGAAAAAGCAUCGGCUACCUCCGUGCCAGCAGCCGCGGUAAUACGGGGGGUGCGAGCGUUAUCCGGCUUUGUUGGGUUUAAAGGGUGCGUAGGGGGACUGUUAAGUCAGCGGUAAAAGCCCGGGGCUCAACCCCGGCGAGCUGUUGAAACUGGCUGGCUUGAGUGGUCGAGGGGUAGGCGGAAGGCGCAGUGUAGCGGUGAAAUGCUUAGAUAUUGCGCAGAACUCCGAUGGCGAAGGCAGCAUACCGGCGGCGAUCUGACGCUGAGGCACGAAAGCGUGGGUAUCGAACAGGAUUAGAUACCCUUGUAGUC